rnacentral:rRNA from 1 species
UGAGGAACAUGACCUUCGGCGGGGGAUAGCCGGCCCAACGGCCGGGUAAUACCGCGUACGACCUUCCGGGGACAUCCCUGGAUGGUGAAAGCAGCAAUGCGCCGAUGGAGUGCCUCGCGGCCUAUCAGCUAGUUGGUGAGGUAACGCUCACCAAGGCGACGACGGGUAGCUGGUCUGAGAGGAUGGCCAGCCACAGUUGGGACUGAGACACGGCCCAGACUCCGUACGGGNGCAG